rnacentral:lncRNA from 1 species
GGUGAUUACAGUCAUAUGCUUCUGACCUUGUAAGAUUUAUGUUGCUUAUUUGUAUUGCUAAAAGUGGACUUCUAUUUACAGGUUCCUACGAAGAGGGUUGACAAAGAAAAUAGUAAUCCAAACUUGCAAAAUAUUCUUUCACAGACAUCUAGUCCUAAUAAGACUCCAGGUUCAAGGCCGACUGCUAUUUCUUCAAAUGCGCUCAUACAAGCUGCAGCAAGGCAAUCUCGAAUGUAUAAAGCAAUGGUAAGUCACAACCUUGCUUUCUCUUCAUGUUCACCUGCAUUUUAUACGUCCUUGGUCUUCAUAAUUAGCUAGCUGCUUCUUCUCUUUUACCAUGUGUUGUUGCUGCAUCGAGUCACAACUUAAACAAAAUACAAAUAUGUGCUAGCUAGGGACAUGAACUUAACUGAAACUAUACAUCUAGUCAUAACUUAAAUCAAUAGCAGGAGCUUUUAGUAGAUGUACGAUCGGACGAUGGUACCAUUCUGUAUGCACGAGCAGGAUGUCAUGAUCAUGCGCGUGAUGCCUUCGCUGAUGAGUCCACUGCAAUGUCACAUGUAGUAUCUCUUCCUGUUGAUAUAGGGGUCGUGAGGGUCGUUUUUUAAACGGACUCGCAACUCCUGAUGGAAGCACUUAAUAUCAAUAAGGUGGACUUGUCGGCCUAUAUGCUGUUAUUGAGGAUACCAAGUACCCGCUCAUAUUAUGGUUUUCUUAUUAUGAAACAAAUGUAUGUCGUCGCUCGGCAAACUUUGUUGCUCAUGAGCUUGCUAGUCUUGAUAGGAUGUUAGAACCUAACUGGAAUGGGGGCCCGAUGUACUAGCCCUUGUGGCUGCUCUGUGUUUUGGGUGAUUCAGCCCAACACCAUUAAGUUAAAAGCAAUGUUUUUUUCUCAAAAAAAUCCCUUUUAGUAGAUGUACUUUAGGUUAUGCCUUAGCCAUUCACACUUGUAUAGUUGUUCUGAUGCCUUAGUUACAUGCUUGCUGACACAGUAUUAGCUAGUUAGUCUGGCAAUAGUUUUUAACAAUGGAGCUGGCAUAAUUGUAUGGCGUAUGUUAUGUUUGACUCAUUAACUAGAACUUUUUUUAUUUCUUGAUUGCAGGAUCCAAAGAACUAGCUGGACUGGACUCUAGAUCACGGGCAGUUUAGUCUUCGAAGUUAAUUAGGAUGGCUAAAUUACAUUUGAGUUUUAUUUGAUGGAUAUUUUCUAUCAGAAGUAUGAAUUGUAUGAAUCUAGAUAUUAUAUGUAUGGUUUUGAAUAUUUUAAUUGAAACCCUGUAAAAAAAAUUUACGAUUGCAAUAGACUAUUACCACAACCCAUUUUUGGUUGCCACAUGCUAGCACCACUAAAAAUAUAGUGUUGCA